UUUUGAUGGUUUUGAAAAGCUUACAUAACUCCUCUUUUGCUCCAUAUUUCUCUCAAAUUUUCCUUUUAAAAAAGAGUCCCACCAUUUUAUUCCAAGCAUUGAGAAUAGCUAGGAAGACCUCUUGGUGGUCGUUGUCUAUCUAUCUAAUCCGUCCCACAAUGGGGAUGUAGCCGAUUACAAGGUGGCUGACGACGAACUGUUAGUGUCGUCAGUGUCUCUCAAUCCUCUGAAGGGUUGAGGUACUAUCCAUGCUCCCUACGUCCACGUCCAUGACCGGCUCCAUAACCAUAUUGUGUGGUGGCAAAUGUGGUGUGUGAAACUGACUUUAACCAGGGUCGGUAGAAUAACCAUAGGCGUGGACGGGCCAACAUCAUCUUGUGUAUGUGGUAAAAGGUGGAACGUCCUCGACAUUAUGAUAUAUAUAACUUCAAGUACAGGAACAUUAAGCUCGAUUGAAGCAUCCUGCUCUACUUGAUGACGUCCUCUACGCUUGGGGCCGUGAGCAGGUGUAGGAAUGAUUGAAUUCAGCUAAGGAUGAGAGGAGUGCUGCCAAGAUCGUGGGGAUUAUGCUAGAGCGUUGAAAAAUAAGCGUUAAUGCUGGAGCCUAUAGUCGCCCGGAUGCCCCAGAGCGAUGACAGUGUAGUAACUCAUUGAGCUUAAAUUGUUACCGCAUUCGUACAACCUGCAAGGGGUGCCAUAAAUUUUAAGGACCCGGUAUAUACGAAAAUUAUGCCCUAGUCGAAAAGGGGGGAGACAUUAUUGAUCCAUUUUGGGUAGCAUUGAUUUGAGGGAACAUUCCCUCAUUGACAUCAGUGGUUUUCAUCGAAGAAGGAGUUGGAGCGUAUUUGUCUUGCUCGUGGGUCACACCGUAUACCUGAGGAAGCUUAUUAUUCUCUAUCAUCUUCAUCAACAAUGUAUUCUUCUUAUGUCUUUUCCAUUCCUUUCCUAUUUUUCAUUAUGA